CAAUAGCGUAUAUUAAAGUUGUUGCAGUUAAAAAGCUCGUAGUUGGAUUUCGGGUGAAUGCGACCGGUCCGUCGUUACGAUGUGUACUGGUUGCGUCCAUCUUGUUGUCGGGGACGCGCUCCUGGCCUUAACUGGCUGGGACGCGGAGUCGGCGAAGUUACUUUGAAAAAUUAGAGUGUUCAAAGCAGGCCUACGCUCUGAAUACAUUAGCAUGGAAUAACGCGAUAGGACUCUGGUCUUAUUGUGUUGGUCUUCGAGACCGGAGUAAUGAUUAAGAGGGACAGUUGGGGGCAUUCGUAUUUCAUUGUCAGAGGUGAAAUUCUUGGAUUUAUGAAAGACGAACUUCUGCGAAAGCAUUUGCCAAGGAUGUUUUCAUUAAUCAAGAACGAAAGUUGGGGGCUCGAAGAUGAUCAGAUACCGU
rnacentral:rRNA from 1 species